AAAAUAAUCCUACCCCUUGUGAAUUUUGUUUGUUUGAAUAAUUUUUUUUUUUAAAAAAUUAUUGGAGUCUUUCCCUUUAGAGUUAGCUUUUGAGUUUGUAAAAGAAUCGAAAACAUCUAAAGGGGAUGGUCAAUAAUUUUUUUUGAAAAAAGACAUUUUUUAAAAUUAAACUUUUUGUAUUCAUUUGUCUAAAAAUUAUUUUUUAUAAUAUAAAAACAACUUUUGACAAUGGAUCUCUUGGUUCUCGCAACGAUGAAGAACGCAGCAAAAUGCGAUAAGUAGUGUGAAUUGCAGAAUACGUGAAUCAUCGAAUCUUUGAACGCAUAUUGCACUUUUUUAGUUUACUAAAAAAGUAUGUCUGUUUGAGUAUCAGUAAAAUAUUCUCAUAAAAAUCAUUGUGUAUUUUUAUGGUUAUGAGUGUUUUACAACGAUACAAGUUGUUUCACUUUAAAUUUUUUUUUAAUAUUGAAAUUUUUCUAAUUUUAAUAAUUAAAAUUGGAUAAAAUUUUCCCGUCAAAAGGAAUAACCUAAACAAUUUUAAACGAUUAAUUUUAGCAAAAUUUUCGAAAAAAGGAAAAUUUUUAUUAAAAUAACUUGAUCUCAAAUCAGAUAAGAGUACCCGCUGAACUUAAGCAUAUCAAUAAGCGGAGGAAAAGAAACUAACAAGGAUUCCCUUAGUAACGGCGAGUGAAGCGGGAAGAGCUCAAAUUUGAAAUCUUCAAGGUUUUACCUUGACGAAUUGUAGUUUAAAGAAGUGUUUUCUGCUGAAGUUUUGGUAAAAGUUCUUUGGAAUAGGACAUCAUAGAGGGUGAGAAUCCCGUAUUUGACCAUUAUUUUCAGCUUUGUGAUACACUUUCAAAGAGUCGGAUUGUUUGGGAAUGCAGUCCAAAAUGAGUGGUAAAUUUCAUCUAAAGCUAAAUAUUGGCGAGAGACCGAUAGCGAACAAGUACCGUGAGGGAAAGAUGAAAAGAACUUUGAAAAGAGAGUUAAACAGUACGUGAAAUUGUCAAAAGGGAAGCGUUUGACACCAGUGUUGUUUUCUCGAAAAUCAAUUAAAAAUGGCUCGAUUUUGUAUUGCUGAGACCUUAAAAGCUCGCUGUACAUUUUUCGUGUCUUUUUUAAUGCACUUUUCGUUUAACAAGUCAACAUCAGUUUCUUUUGUUGUAAAAGGGUCAUUGGAAGGUGGCUUUCUUCUCGGAGAAAGUGUUUAUAGCCUUUGGCCUCUGCAAUCGAGAGACUGAGGUCUGCAGCGUAGACUCUUCGGGGUUAGAUACAUUUGUGCUAAGUUAUAGCUUUUUAUAGACAACUUGUUGACUAUAAUUAGUCUUGUAGCUUACUCGCUUAUGCUAUUU
rnacentral:misc_RNA from 1 species